rnacentral:rRNA from 1 species
UACGGAGGGUGCGAGCGUUCAUCGGAAUUACUGGGCGUAAAGGGCGCGUAGGCGGUGGGUUACGUCUGCCGUGAAAUCCCCGGGCUCAACCUGGGAAUGGCGGUGGAAACGGGGUGACUGGAGUAUGGGAGAGGGUGAUGGAAUUCCAGGUGUAGCGGUGAAAUGCGUAGAGAUCUGGAGGAACACCAGUGGCGAAGGCGGUCGCCUGGCCCAAUACUGACGCUGAGGCGCGAAAGCGUGGGGAGCAAACCGG